rnacentral:lncRNA from 1 species
UCAUAUCUAAAAAAAACCGUCAUGCGAAGCCUUCUCUACACCAUCGGUUCCCUUCUCAUUCUCCUUCUCAGCCACGAUGGUGGCUUUACCGGAGCCGCCGAUGCCGAACAUACCUUCAGAGCCACCGAUAUACAUACUCAUCGCCAUCGUCGCAACCAUGGCCACCGUCGCGGAGAAGAGUUUGAGUACUCAGCCUUAUCGUGUAGAGCUUAUUCAGCGUCUCUUGACGAGUUCGGCGCCGUAGGAGACGGCGUGACCUCAAAUACAGCGGCGUUUCGCGAUGCAG